UUUGAGCUUUCCAAUGUAGGUAUAUGAUGAGAUGAGCUUGCCGAAUGGUGUUUUGAGGCUUCAGCCGAAAGGAGGACAUGGCCAUCAUAAUGGAGUGAAGAGUGUGAUGGGACAUUUGGAUGGCAGCCGUGAGUUUCCUCGGUUGUGCAUAGGAUUGGAAAUCCACCUGGUGCUAUGGACAUGAAAGCUUAUCUUCUACAGAAGUUCAGUCCUGUGGAGCGAAAUCAGGGAAAAUGAAGAUUCCUGGUAACAUAGGGUAUUUUUGACGAUUGAUGAUGCACUGGAACAAGGAGUUGAGGCAGUGAGGACACUGGCGCUGAGUGGGUUCUGCCAAAAAAUCACUAGAUUCAAUUUAGGGCAGAAGUACAAGCAUCACAAAGUUUGAUCACAUUACAU